GUGAAUCAUCGAAUUUUUGAACGCAAAUUGCACUCUCUGGUAUCCCGGAGAGUAUGCCUGUUUGAGGGUCAGUUUUAAUAAAAAUCGGUGUGGUUGCCGACUUUCGUGGUGACGCACCGGAUUUGGGUCGUAUCGCCUUUGGUUAAGUGACCUAAAAUUUAGCUUGAUUUUUUAGAACGAAUUUAACUGAUUUUACGUACGUUUGUGA
rnacentral:misc_RNA from 1 species